rnacentral:misc_RNA from 1 species
GGAAGGAUCAUUAACACUCCAAGAGUCGCGGCAACGCGAUUUUUGAAAUAUCCACCGUGAACUGAGAAACUCAAAAGGAGGGUUUGAUAACCAAACCCCCGUUUCACCCCUUCAUCUUUUACUUUUUGAUCUGAACUUGUCUGAAACUUAUAAAAGUUGCGAUUUUAUUGAAAAAUAAAAGACAACUUUUGGCAGUGGAUAUCUUGGCUCCUGCAUCGAUGAAGAACGCAGCAAAAUGCGAUACGUCGUGUGAAUCGCAGAACUCUGUGAAUCAUCAAACUUUUGAACGCACCUUGCGGUCCGGCGGGGGGCAACUCUCGACGGACCAUGCCUGUUUCAGAAUUGGUAACCCCUCUCAACAACGCAAGUUGUUGGAAUUGAGGUCGAUGAGAAGCAAUUUUCAUCUUCCUUGCAUUACCAAGCAAGCCAUUAUAAAGAAAGCUACAACUGCCGUUCAGGACUUGAGUUGUCCUUUUCGGGUUUCUGGGCUACUGCUAGGAAGCUAGAAGCAAUUCUUGCGACCCUGUGGCUCUUCCGAAAAGACUUCUGAGGUUGUGAAUGGUGUUAGAUCCUUCUUUCGGCUUGGCACACAAAUCAUAUUUCCCCAUUCAAAUCUGAAAUCAGACAAGAAUACCCGCUGAACUUAAGCAUAUUAUUAAGCGGAGGAAAAGAAACUAACAAGGAUUCCCCUAGUAGCAGCGAGUGAAGAGGGAACAGCUCAGGGUUGAAAUCGGCAUGGGAGCUUCACCGCAUCUCGUGUCGAGUUGUACCUUUGAGAGGUGUGCUUGGGAUUCCCGCCAGGUAUAAGUGCCCUUUGAAUGGGCCAUCAUAGAGGGUUAUAAUCCCGUCUUUGACCUGGACGAAAUGGAAGGAAGUUCCAACACGGCACAUCAUCAGCGAGUCGGGUUGUUUGGGAGUACAGCCCUAAGUGGGUGGUAGGUUUCAUCUAAAGCUAAAUACAGGCAGGAGACCGAUAGCGAACAAGUACCGCGAGGGAAAGAUGAAAAGAACUUUGAAAAGAGAGUUAAAUAGUCCUUGAAGCUGCCAAAAGGACAAGCGACUGUCACUGUCGUUUGCUGCCAUCAAUCCGUUCGAACCUGGAUGCAAUUCUUAGGUUUGGUCAAAGCUCUCUGGGCUUGGCUGGGCUUGAGAAGGGUGUUUGGAGCGGGCUAGGAUUGGUGGAUAGUCGGCCAAAGGUGGUUCUGUCUUCUUUCUUACGCGUGUGUAGUGCCCAGGAAGGUGGACCCGCAGGGCUUGCUCUUGUGGGUAGCUUAUAGCCUGGAGCGCGAAGCGCUGGUAGUGGGACCAUUCCGCAGCGCCUUAGUGCGUUGCUCAGCGGAGGGUCGUACUGGAGUUCUUUCUGUCCAGAUGUGCACACCUUGAGCUUGCUCCUCACGGACAGGGUCUUGGAGUGUUCGGUUUGGUCACGGGGGCAUCAGUACGCCUUCGCGUAACUUUGGCAUAUGACGGUGUCAGUUGUCCCGUCUUGAAACACGGACCAAGGAGUGUAACCUAUAUGCGAGUAUUUGGGUGUUAAAACCUGCUCCGUUAAGGGAGCCAUUGAGAAAUGCGUACUGAAAGGGAAGGGUCUCUUACGAGGCCUGAGGUAGGAAUCGUCGGAAUUCCGACGAGGCACUAUCGACCGAUCUGGAUGAUUCGUCUGAAGGAUUUGAGUGAGAGCAUAUCUGUUACGACCCGAAAGACGGUGAACUAUGCGUGUCUAGGGUGAAGCCAGAGGAAACUCUGGUGGAGGCUCGUAGCGAUACUGACGUGCAAAUCGUUCGUCAAAGAUGCGUAUAGGGGCGAAAGACUAAUCGAACCGUCUAGUAGCUGGUUCCCUC